rnacentral:lncRNA from 1 species
AAAAGUCCAAUCCAUAUUGGCAACUACCAAAAAUAAAAAUCCACACUGCUGGCAUCUUCAUAAAUUCAAAUUCAAUCAACAUUGGCACCCACGAAAGUCUCACCUUCAAAAAAGGGGACCAAUAAAAACAACCAACAUUCAUCUUGCAUUACCACAUGCACUGCAUACAAUAAACACACCUUACUUUCCUUCCAAAUAGGAAAGUUGCAUAUCAAAAAUCUCUCUCACAAAAAAAAAAUCAUUAACAUGUAUCAUACGCAUACAC